rnacentral:tRNA from 1 species
GAGAUUGUGGCUCAGUGGCAGAGUGCUUGCCUCACAUGUGUGAGGCACUGAGUUCAAUCCUCAGCACCACA